rnacentral:rRNA from 1 species
GACGAACGCUGGCGGCGUGCUUAACACAUGCAAGUCGAACGAUGACGCCCGAGCUUGCUCGGUCUGAUUAGUGGCGAACGGGUGAGUAACACGUGAGCAACCUGCCCUUCACUCUGGGAUAACCUCGGGAAAUCGGGGCUAAUACCGGAUAUGAGCUCCUGUCGCAUGGCGGGUGUUGGAAAGGUUUUCGGUGAAGGAUGGGCUCGCGGCCUAUCAGUUUGUUGGUGAGGUAGUGGCUCAGCAAGGCGAUGACGGGUAGCCGGCCUAAGAGGGCGACCGGCCACACUGGGACUGAGACACGGCCCAGACUCCUACGGGAGGCAGCAGUGGGGAAUAUUGCACAAUGGGCGAAGGCCUGAUGCAGCGACGCCGCGUGAGGGAUGACGGCCUUCGGGUUGUAAACCUCUUUCAGCAGGGAAGAAGCGAAAGUGACGGUACCUGCAGAAGAAGCGCCGGCUAACUACGUG